GAGAGUCGCAGAUACCAGGUGGCUGCAACUGUUUAUUAAAAACACAGCACUGUGCAAAAUCGUAAGAUGACGUAUACGGUGUGACGCCUGCCCGGUGCCGGAAGGUUAAUUGAUGGGGUUAGACUUCGGUCGAAGCUCUUGAUCGAAGCCCCGGUAAACGGCGGCCGUAACUAUAACGGUCCUAAGGUAGCGAAAUUCCUUGUCGGGUAAGUUCCGACCUGCACGAAUGGCGUAAUGAUGGCCACGCUGUCUCCACCCGAGACUCAGUGAAAUUGAAAUCGCUGUGAAGAUGCAGUGUACCCGCGGCUAGACGGAAAGACCCCGUGAACCUUUACUACAGCUUGGCACUGAACAUUGACCCUACAUGUGUAGGAUAGGUGGGAGGCUUUGAAGCACGUACGCCAGUAUGUGUGGAGCCGUCCUUGAAAUACCACCCUUGUAGUGUUGAUGUUCUAACGUCGACCCCUUAUCGGGGUUACGGACAGUGCCUGGUGGGUAGUUUGACUGGGGCGGUCUCCUCCCAAAGAGUAACGGAGGAGCACGAAGGUGGGCUAAUCACGGUUGGACAUCGUGAGGUUAGUGCAAUGGCAUAAGCCCGCUUGACUGCGAGAAUGACAAUUCGAGCAGGUGCGAAAGCAGGUCAUAGUGAUCCGGUGGUUCUGAAUGGAAGGGCCAUCGCUCAACGGAUAAAAGGUACUCCGGGGAUAACAGGCUGAUACCGCCCAAGAGUUCAUAUCGACGGCGGUGUUUGGCACCUCGAUGUCGGCUCAUCACAUCCUGGGGCUGAAGUCGGUCCCAAGGGUAUGGCUGUUCGCCAUUUAAAGUGGUACGCGAGCUGGGUUUAGAACGUCGUGAGACAGUUCGGUCCCUAUCUGCCGUGGGCGUUGGAAGAUUGAAGGGGGCUGCUCCUAGUACGAGAGGACCGGAGUGGACGAACCUCUGGUGUUCGGGUUGUGUCGCCAGACGCAUUGCCCGGUAGCUAAGUUCGGAAUCGAUAACCGCUGAAAGCAUCUAAGCGGGAAGCGAGCCCUGAGAUGAGUCUUCCCUGAUACUUUAAGUAUCCUAAAGGGUUGUCGGAGACUACGACGUUGAUAGGUCAGGUGUGUAAGUGCUGUGAGGCAUUGAGCUAACUGAUACUAAUUGCCCGUGAGGCUUAACCAUACAACACCCAAGGGGUUU
rnacentral:rRNA from 1 species